rnacentral:rRNA from 1 species
CUGGUUGAUCCUGCCAGUAGUCAUAUGCUUGUCUCAAAGAUUAAGCCAUGCAUGUCUAAGUAUAAACUGCUUUAUACUGUGAAACUGCGAAUGGCUCAUUAAAUCAGUUAUAGUUUAUUUGAUGGUACUUACUUACUCGGAUACCCGUAGUAAUUCUAGAGCUAAUACGUGCGUACAUCCCGACUUCUGGAAGGGACGUAUUUAUUAGAUAAAAGGCCGACCGGGCUUGCCCGACUCGCGGUGACUCAUGAUAACUUCACGAAUCGCAUGGCCUUGCGCCGGCGAUGUUUCAUUCAAAUUUCUGCCCUAUCAACUUUUGAUGGUAGGAUAGAGGCCUACCAUGGUGGUAACGGGUGACGGAGAAUUAGGGUUCGAUUCCGGAGAGGGAGCCUGAGAAACGGCUACCACAUCCAAGGAAGGCAGCAGGCGCGCAAAUUACCCAAUCCUGAUACAGGGAGGUAGUGACAAUAAAUAACAAUACCGGGCCUUUGGUCUGGUAAUUGGAAUGAGUACAACCUAAACACCUUAACGAGGAUCAAUUGGAGGGCAAGUCUG